rnacentral:rRNA from 1 species
GAUGAACGCUGGCGGCGUGCCUAACACAUGCAAGUCGAGCGAGGGUUUGCUCAGUAUUGAGUAUUCUAAGACUAGAAUGUUCAAUUCUGAGCAAAACCAAGCGGCGGACGGGUGAGUAACGCGUGGGUAACCUGCCCUAUACACAUGGAUAACAUACUGAAAAGUUUACUAAUACAUGAUAAUAUAUAUUUGCGGCAUCGCAGAUAUAUCAAAGUGUUAGCGGUAUAGGAUGGACCCGCGUCUGAUUAGCUAGUUGGUGAGAUAACUGCCCACCAAGGCGACGAUCAGUAGCCGACCUGAGAGGGUGAUCGGCCACAUUGGAACUGAGACACGGUCCAAACUCCUACGGGAGGCAGCAGUGGGGAAUAUUGCACAAUGGGCGAAAGCCUGAUGCAGCAACGCCGCGUGAACGAUGAAGGUCUUCGGAUCGUAAAGUUCUGUUGCAGGGGAAGAUAAUGACGGUACCCUGUGAGGAAGCCCCGGCUAACUACGUGC